rnacentral:piRNA from 1 species
UCGAAAAAUUGGAAUUGGACA